AAUCAACGCUGGCGGCGUGCCUAACACAUGCAAGUCGAACGCGAAAGCCCCGCAAGGGGUUAGUAGAGUGGCAAACGGGUGAGUAACACGUGGGUGACCUGCCUUAGAGUGGGGGAUAACGUCCCGAAAGGGACGCUAAUACCGCAUAACAUCCUGCCUUUGAAGAGGUGGAGAUCAAAGCCGGGGACCGCAAGGCCUGGCGCUCAAAGAGGGGCCCGCGCCUGAUUAGCUAGUUGGUGAGGAAUGGCUCACCAAGGCAACGAUCAGUAUCCGGCCUGAGAGGGCGGACGGACACACUGGGACUGAGACACGGCCCAGACUCCUACGGGAGGCAGCAGUGGGGAAUUGUUCGCAAUGGGCGCAAGCCUGACGACGCAACGCCGCGUGGAGGAUGAAGACCUGGUCGUAAC
rnacentral:rRNA from 1 species